rnacentral:tRNA from 1 species
GGCCUUGCAGUGUAGCCACGUUAGGUUGCAAACCUAAAGAUGCAGAUUAUCAGUUUGCCUGGGCUU